rnacentral:rRNA from 1 species
UUGCACCUAGUGGCGAACGGGUGAGUAACACGUAACUAACCUACCUUUUAGUGGGGGAUAACAGUUGGAAACGACUGCUAAUACCGCAUACGACACCAUUAUGGCAUCAGAAGGUGUUAAAAGGCCCGUUUGGGUCGCUAGAAGAUGGGGAUGCGGCGUAUUAGCUAGUAGGUGGGGUAAUUGCCCACCUAGGCAAUGAUACGUAGCCGAACUGAGAGGUUGAUCGGCCACAUUGGGACUGAGAUACGGCCCAGACUCCUACGGGAGGCAGCAGUAGGGAAUUUUUCACAAUGGACGAAAGUCUGAUGAAGCAAUGCCGCGUGAGUGAUGACGGUCUUCGGAUUGUAAAGCUCUGUUGUAAGGGAAGAAUAGGUAAAAGAGGAAAUGCUUUUAUUUUGACGGUACCUUACCAGAAAGCCACGGCUAACUAUGUGCCAGCAGCCGCGGUAAUACAUAGGUGGCAAGCGUUAUCCGGAUUUAUUGGGCGUACAGGGUGCGUAGGCGGUUCGAUAAGUUUGAGGUUCAAUCCCCGGGGCUCAACCCCCGGUUCGCCUUGAAAAACUGUCUUACCAGACACACAGGAAAAGGUAGAUGGAAAUUCCCAUGUGCAGCGGAGAAAUGCAUAGAUAAAAGGAAGAAAGCAGCAGGGGCGUGGGCGGUCUACUGGCCUGUUAUUGACCCUGAAGCUACGAAAGCGUGGGGGAGUAAAACGAAUACAACCCCUACUCCUCCCGCCCGAACCCGUU